UACGGAGGGUGCAAGCGUUGUCCGGAUUUAUUGGGUUUAAAGGGUGCGUAGGCGGCUAUUUAAGUCAGUGGUGAAAUCCUGCAGCUUAACUGUAGAACAGCCAUUGAUACUGGAUAGCUUGAGUACAGACGAGGUAGGCGGAAUUUAUGGUGUAGCGGUGAAAUGCAUAGAUACCAUAAAGAACCCCUAUUGCGAAGGCAGCUUACUAGGCUGUAACUGACGCUGAGGCACGAAAGCGUGGGGGAUCAAACAGG
rnacentral:rRNA from 1 species